rnacentral:snRNA from 1 species
CAUGGGUUAGUCGAUCCUAAG